CAGAAUUUCAUUCACUAGAAUAGGACUUCAAGCUGUUCAAUACGGAAGACUAGCAGUAUCAAUUUCCUAGCAUUUAAGGCUAAGGAAUGAUGUUAAAAUGAUGAAAAGUAAUUGAAAGAGCAGAUGUAUAGGAACUAUUUCCUCCUGUGAGGAGUGGAAAACAAAAUGACUCAGUCCUUCUUGUCACAAACAAAUGAGGAAAAUUGUGGAGUUCCUUUUCCCAAACUGCUGUGCGUAUUGAGGCAACAUCCAGAGGGAGGGUGUUCUGAUACCAGGUUCUGUCUGCCAUAGGCUCAGAAGGGAAGGAAAUCUGCUGUCCUUUUCCAAGUCUGGUUGAUGUGACUCCAGUCUCCACAAUGUGGUUGUCUCUCCACAGACUCGGCAGCUCUGCAGUCAUUAACGAUAACAAUAAGCACUCAAAUUGUAAAUGUACGCAUCCAAUGAGCAAUAAGUAAAAUGUAUCAUAAAACCUAACUUGCAACCUUUGAACUUACGCGUUGGCGUGAGUCAUAUAAAAUAUUUUUCACCUUUGUUUCAACCCUUUAACUGAAUUCCUAAAUACACAUGCUGUUAAUUGCUAAUUUGCCUCGUAGGAGAUGCAGACUUUAUGAAAUUAUAAUUGAUUAAUAGGCUUAAAUGCUA